CUCGUGUAUGGACUGUAAUACAGGUGUACAGGUGUGCAGCUGUGCAGAGACUGUCACACAAGUGUGCAUCAUACACAGAGUGUAAUACAGGUGUACACUCAUGUAUGGACUGUAAUACAGGUGUACACUCGUGUAUGGACUGUAAUACAGGUGUACACUCAUGUAUGGACUGUAAUACAGGUGUACAUUCAUGUAUGGACUGACCCAGGUGUGCAGUUGUACAGAGACUCAUACAGGUGUGCAUUGCACGUGGGCUGUGCCCACAGGUGUACAGUCGCUCAGGGGCUGUCAUACAGGUGUGCACCAUACACAGACUAAUACAGGUGUACUGUUGGACAGAGAGUGUCACACAGGUGUGUAUCACACAUGGGUUGUAACACAGGUGUACAUUUACACACAGACUAAAACAGGUGUGCACUGUACACAGGUUAAUACAGGUGUACAGUUGUACACAGGCUGUAAUACAGGUGUACAUGUAUGUACAGACUGGAAUACAGGUGUGCAUCAUUCUCAGACUGUCAUGCAGGUGUGGAUCACUCUCAGACUGUCAUACAGGUGUGGAUCACUCAGACUGUCAUACAGGUGUGGAUCACAGACUUAUUCAGGUGUGGAUCACAGACUGUCAUACAGGUGUGGAUCACUCAGACUGUCAUACAGGUGUGGAUCACAGACUGUCAUACAGGUGUGGAUCACUCAGACUGUCAUACAGGUGUGGAUCACUCAGACUGUCAUACAGGUGUGGAUCACAGACUGUCAUACAGGUGUGGAUCACAGACUGUCAUACAGGUGUGGAUCACUCAGACUGUCAUGCAGCUGUGGAUCACUCUCAGACUGUCAUACAGGUGUGGAUCACUCUCAGACUGUCAUACAGGUGUGGAUCACAGACUGUCAUACAGGUGUGGAUCACUCUCAGACUGUCAUGCAGGUGUGGAUCACAGACUGUCAUACAGGUGUGGAUCGCUCUCAGACUGUCAUACAGGUGUGGAUCACUCUCAGACUGUCAUACAGCUGUGCACUGACUGUGAUCCAGGUGCACACUCGUGUACAGGCUGACUGGAGCUGGGGCACAGCCAGGUGUGGUCACUCACGCAGGUGUGACAGGCUGGCUGCUGCCUUUCCCAGCUCUCUCUCUGCACUGCAGCAUUGCCAGGGCUGUUCUGGCCCGAACACCUGCCCUGUGUGGGGUGAUGUUUGUGUCACAGCCCCACAGGUGACAUCGGCAGUGCUUCGGAAGUGCUGCAGACAGCUUGCAUUUAUUACUCAGACGGGAUUCCCUUCAAUUUGCUGGGAGAUUGUCCAAGGUUUCCUUUAUGUUUUGUGUUCUGUCACAAUUGGCCUGAUCCUGCAGCCUUUUGCUUUUGGAGAGGAUGAGUGUUAAUUUUUCCCUGCGACAGAGAAACCAGCCCUUGAGUGCCUCUGUAACUCCAUGGGCUGGUUUUGCUUCCAGGAGAAGGGCAGGGCUGUAAGUGGGGCAGGAGUUGGCUCACAGCUCAUCAGCUCCUGAUGCACAGGUCAGUCCUGACCCUGCAGACACACCACACAGGUUUUAUUUUGGGAAGCAUCUCCUGGGAGCCCUGGCUGGGUCU
rnacentral:lncRNA from 1 species